rnacentral:SRP_RNA from 1 species
CCGUGCUAGGCGGGGAGCUAGCGGUGCCCUGUACCCGAAAACCGCUAUAGCGGGGCUGAAUUCCUGCUUGAGGUUUGCGGCUGGCUAGACCUGCCUUUGCUGAGCGGUGUUGAUGGUCGGGUUCUAUGCAACUGGAGGCUAUGAACCCCGUCAGGUCCGGAAGGAAGCAGCGGUAAGUGGUAUUUCCAGUGUGACAUAGAGUUGCCUGGCUGGAGCGAGCUGGCAAGGGCGGCUUCCCGGUUCGGGAAUCGAGGGCAGGUGCACGG